GCAUUUACCUGGCCAGGAGGAUACCAUGACCUCGAAGGUAGUUUCCCCAGGAUGAGGAUCACCCAUUGCACUACAGAUGUGUUUACCUCAUUUCCCCACAUUAAAAAAGAAAAAAAAAAUGAUAUUGCUGUGAGGAAGACACUAUAGAGGGGUAAUCCCUG
rnacentral:snRNA from 1 species